UAUUCUUCUGUCCCUUUCGACAGAACAAAUAACGUUCGGAGAAGUUAAUGGCUCGUAUUGCAGGAGUGAACAUACCAGAU
rfam:Legionella sp. 40-6 scnpilot_expt_750_p_scaffold_2377, whole genome shotgun sequence.